UGCUCCUGCUCCUCUAGGCUUGCCACCAUUCCUGUGACUCGGGUUUUGCUCUGCGCUAGGCUACCACCAUCUCUGCUCUGUACAGACGCUUGGUGAACUGAAACUGGAUUUUUUUUCUUUAAGCAGGAGAACUGCAGUUGCUAGCAGUUUCUAGCAGCAGACACAGAAAGUCACCUUGGAGCAGAACUUCUUUGUUUCUGGAAGGUCAUCAGGCCCUUGCAGUUAAACCAACACUAAACAAAUACACACUGCUACUCUUGCACUGGCCUUGGACUUGGAAAGCAUCUCAAACACAGACACUUCAGGCUGGUGUAACUUGAGGGCGUGGAUGUGAUCUUGCAGGCCCGAGGCUCCCAGUGUCUGACAUGGGGAGCUCCCGAUGAAGAGAUGGCUGGCCUGGUUGCAUGAAGGUUGUCUUGAUGGGAUUCUUGUUCUGGACAUAGAGCUGGACCCUUGGACAACCAAAAUAUCACUUCUGGAGCUCCUGGGGUUCCAUACUGCCUCCCCCUGGUGGGUAGGUAUUUAUAGUGAGUUCUCCCUCAUGCCUGGAGAGUAUUAUAAAAUGGGACUGUUUUCUUGGCCAUUGUCGGAGCAUAUUCAGGACAUUUUACAAUAAGAGAAAAUCAAGAAACAGGGCCAGUUAAUAUGGCGGUGCUAUUUUAGGCAAUAAGGCAAGUCGCAACAGAUACUACACAUCACUGGUAGGUCACAUUCUGUGAACGCAAUGCAAUAGAAGUCAUUCACAAAAGACAGCAAAUGAAAACUUGUAUACAUUCAGGGUUUUUUUCUUUCUUUUUCUUUUCUUUUUUUUUUUUUUUUUUUGAGAUAGGGUCUCACUCUGCCGCCCAGGCUGGAGUGGUAUAGUGGUGUCAUCAUGGCUCACUGCAGCCCCAAACUCCUGGGCUCAAGGGAUCCUCCUACCUCAGCCUCCCAAGUAGCUAAGACUACAGGCAUGUGCCACUAUGCCCGGCUAAUUAAAACUUUUUUUUUUUUCCUGUAGAGACAGGUUCUCACUUUGUUGCCCAGGCUGGCACAUUCAGGGAUUUCAAAAACACAUUUAUUAAUAAUUCAAAUCAAAGAAAAAAUUGUGAUGGAAAUAAUGAAAUAUUUAUGAAUUAAUGACUACUGUGAAAUGCUACACUUCAAAACUUGUGGAUACAACUGAAAUCAACUAGAGGAAAUGUUUAGCUUUAAAUGUAUUCAUCAGAAAAGAAGACGUUUUGAAAAUCAAAAAGUCAAGAGUUCAAUUUAAGGCCAGGCAUGGUGGGAUGGUUCACACCUGUAAUCCCAGCACUUCGGGAGGCCAAGGCAGGAGGAUUGCUUGAAUCCAGGAGUUUGAGACCAGCCUGAGCAACGUAGCGAGAUCCCAUCUCUAAAAAAAUUUUUUUUAAAAUUAGCUGGGCAUGGUGGCAUGCACCUGUAGUCCUAGCUACUUGGAAGAUCCCUUGAGCCCAGGAGUUCGAGGCUAUGUUUGCACCACCUCACUCUGGCCUGGAUGACAGAGUGAGAUGCUGUCUCUUUAAAAAAAAAUUCAACUUAAGAAGUUAGAAAAAUAAUGGAAUAUAUAGCCAAAGAAGGAAAAAAAUAAGGAUAAAAAUUAAUGGACUACAAAACAAAAAUAAUAUUAAAGAGACUCAGUAAAACCAAAACCCGUUCUUUGAAAAGACAAAUAAAACAGACAAACCUCUGCAAAAAGUAAAAAAAAGAGAGAAGUCAGUCAUAAACAAUGCUAGGAAUGAAAAGAAGAUGAUUACCAUGGAUACAAUAGAGAUUUUGAAAAAUCAUGAUAAAAUACUGUGAACAAUUUAUGACUAUUUUACAUUUAUAUGAAAUGGAUUAUUUUCUAGAAAAAUAUAAAUUACUAAAAGAAACUUAAACCAAUCUGAAUAUACCUAUAAGCAUUAGAGUACCUGAAUCAGUGGUCAAAAAUAUAACCUUCAUUCCCUUAAGUUAAUUAAGAUAGGAGGCCCAGAUAGUUUUACUGAGGAGGUUUGUCCACCUUUAAUGAAAAGAUAAGCUCUCACAUACAAACAGUUCCAGCGAGUAGGGGGAAAAACACAUCCAAACUCAUUUAAUGAGGUAGAUUAGUAAAAGUUGAAGACGAAACCAGAGCAGAACAGCACCAUGUAGAGAAAUUUUCAGCCAGUCUCACUUAGGAACAGAAUUGUACGAAUCCAAAAUAAAAUAUUAGCAGAUUAAACCCAGAAAUGUAUUUAAAAGUAUAGCAUGGCUGGGCAUGGUGGCUCACGCCUGUAAUCCCAGCACAUUGGGAGGCUGAAGAGGGCGGAUCCCUUGAGGUCAGGAGUUGGAGACCAGCCUGGCUAUCGUGGCGAAACCCUGUCUCUACUAAAAAUACAAAAAUUAGCUGGGCAUGGUGGUGCGUGCUUGUAGUCCUAGCUACUUGGGAGGCUGAGGCAGGAGAAUCGCUUGAACCUGGGAGGCGGAGGUUGCAGUGAGCCAAGAUCGCGCCACUGUACUCCAGCCUGGGCAACAGAGCGACACCCUGUCUCAAAAAAAAAAAAAAAAAGAAAAAGUAUAACAUGACCAGGAAGGUGUUAUCCCACAAAUAAAAGGUUGAUUCAACAUCAGACAAUCUAUUAAAGAAAUGUACCACUUCAGCAGAUUAGUGGAGGAGAAAACAUGAUUAUCUCAACAGAUGAAAAAAAAGCAUUUGCUCUCUAUAAUUUGAUUCAAUUUAAUUAAAAGACAGAAUCCAAAACAAAGAAAACAAAACAAAAACCAAACCACCCUCCUUUCCAUGAUUACCUCUGUUGUCUGCUCCCGUCCAUUUCUCCCUUUCCUUGUCAUACUGUAUCUUUCCUGCUCUUCUUUUUCCUUUAGAAACUCACACACCGUCAUGGGUAAUGCCUUUGCCUUGUUACCUCUGCAUGGAAUAUUCUGUUCUCAGAGCUUCCCAGGGCUCCCUCUUGUCACUUAGGUAUCAACACAGCUGUCAUCUUCUGGGGCCUUGCUCAGACCCAUCUCUAACUAACCAGCCCUCUACUGCAAGUUGCCCAGUUUUAUUUCCCCCUGAACAUUGAUGAUGGACAUUGCCUUGCUUAUUUACAUGUUUGCUUAUUCAGGAUCUCCCGCUUCAAACGUGAGUUGUCCAGGACAGUGGGACCCUGUCUCUCCACUGCCCAGAACAAAACUGGGCAACUUUCAGGUGCCAAGGAAAUGUUUGCUCUAUUAACUGGCUCUGUUUCCUUGGCCAUUAUGGGGUCUUCUCGGGAAAUUUUAUAAUGUGAGCAAAUCAAACCGAUUAAUUUUUCAAAUGUACUGUAAUAUUUGGGACUACAUUUAACAGCAAAGUUGAUAGGUUGCACUUUGUAGACACGAGUUUCAGAUUUAUUGAUUUUGAUUUUGCAGUUUUCUUUUGGUAUUUGGGGUUGAAAACAACCUUUAACCUUUUCAUAAUUUUACCAAACUCGUAAACUAGGCCCUUUGCCUGUCAUCUCUAAUGGAAAAUGGACCUGUUUGGGGCAGUUAUGCCAUGUUUGUCUCUUUCUCUUUGUUUGUGCUUCCAAUAAAUGGAAUUUAUUUCAUUUUAAAA